AUAGUACUCCCUUCGUCCAACAAAAGAUGUCACAAUUUUGACUAAAUUUGAAUGCGUUUAUAUACUAAGUCAUGUCUAGAUACAUCCAAAUUUUGACAAACUUGAGACAUCUUUUAUUGGAUGGAGGAAAUAGUUG
rfam:Brachypodium distachyon strain Bd21 chromosome 4, whole genome shotgun sequence.